AUUGUUUUUGAUGUCAUUGUUCUAAGCCUUAUAUGUGAAAUGUGAUGUAUAGAUAGAUUUCAAUUAUUUUUUUGGAUGUGAGACACCUCUUCCUUUCCUCUCUCUCGAUAUGGGGCAAUAUUUGGACAUCACUUGGCCUGCCGAGGUCACACACGCGACUAAAAGUACGUCACUUUUGAUGAAAGAUAAACCACAUGUAAUGUAAUAUAAUGGAUUAAACCACGUGUGUGUAAUGAUUUAAUCUACGGCUUACUGGGUGCGUUUGAUGAAAUCAUCUAAAUGGUGAUACUGCAAAACAAGAUCAUCUUUGUUUGUGAAGAAGCUCAGCCUGUAAGAUCAUAAAUCAAUUAUUGCCAUUAUAAAUCAUUUUUUGUGUAGCCAGUGAGGAAAUGUCCCUCCUGAGCUACUAUAGAUUCAGGUCAGCCUUGGCACCUCCUACUUCCUGGUUCACCAAUUAGACAGGCUGUAAAAGCUUCACGUAAUGAAGCUGUGUCAGCAUGCUUGUCCCUUUCGCUGUUGCACUCUGGCUUGAGAAUUCCGAGAGCAGCUCGUCAGGGCCCAGGUGCAGGAGGCUCAAAGUCCAGGCUGCGAUUGUGAAGUAGAUGGCCCCAAAAAUGGAAACGGCAAUGCAAAAUGGAUUUUAAAAAAGCAAGGCGAACCCCUGACUGCGAUACACGGACCAAGAUUUUUGCUAUUCCCUUCUUUAAAUUUCAAUUCAAUUACUGAACUUCAGGAUUUGGGGAAUAUUAAGAUGCCAACCAGGUGUAACAUGUUUGACCUUCCUUUUGUGGAGUCACCCUGUUAGGUGAGGGGGCAAAGUAACCAUUCAUUUUUUUUAAUAUUGUAGUUUUUUUUUUUUUUUUACUCAUUUCUGUUUGUUCCAUAUGCUUUGGGCAAGAAACGUAGUGGUGGAGUACAAAAACGUCAGAGACUUGGGUUAUUAACAACACUACCACAGGGACGCAGCUCUUAUCGCCAACGGAAAGCUUUUAAUGAUUUGAAUGGCUUGGUAGUCCAAAAUGAUGGUGCUGUAUGUUCUGUAGUGUAAAUUGCUUGAAUUGUAUGUGCGUACCCUGUAAAAAUGCACUGUAAAUGCACAUGUCUGUGGACAGUAAUUAAAACCGCUUUAAAGAACCGUCAUCUUGACUGAAAAUGAUUUUUGUUCCACAAUGACAAAUGGGAGUGUUCUAAAGAUUCAUUUUAAUGGAUAUUCAAAAUUGUACAAUGUAGUGCUGUUGUUGGAAUAUUGACUCUGAAAUUCGAACACUUCAAUGUAACCCCCACCCUCUAUGUUAGGGCCUUGGUGUUAAAAUGUAUUCCUUUUUUACAAUUGUACUUUAAUUUUGACUGUAGAUUAAUAGUUAAUGUAUUCUGGAAUCUUGUAGGAACCACCUGCGAUUGCUGAUUAUGGGUGGUCGACCUCAAAUGACGGAACCAUCAAGGUUAAAGGAAGCUUAUGGAUCUUGGGUAGCGGAUGGGCGAGGCUUGGGCUCUUCAUCCAGGUAUUUAUGUAAUGCUUGUUAAAAUGUCUUUCAACCUUAACUGUCUGCUUCCAGUAUGUCCUUGUCUGUCUUUAACUUUUUGGGCUCUCUUUAUCUGCUGUUUAACUAUUUGCUGUUCAAUGUUUUAAGAAUGUGUGUAUUGCUGAUUAAUGUUGGGCUGUGUAAGGAGCUCUCAGUGUUGCCAAGAUUUUUCUUGCUGCGUUCCUUAUUUAUGUUGUGACUUGAAACAGGGUGGUCAAGAGAACAUAACGGGCUCCCUGAAGUCAAGCUA